rfam:Capsicum annuum cultivar Zunla-1 chromosome 8, whole genome shotgun sequence
ACCUCAUGGUUGGGAUAUUGCAUGAGUUUUCCAUUAAAUCUUUCCAACACCUAAUAUAAUGUUUCACCAUUCAAUUGUCAAAAGUUAAUGAUUUCAUCAUGCAAUU